GCGCGUAUGUUCCCUGAUUGCUAUGAAAAGAAGUCAGUUAAGGUAGCCAUUAUGAGGGUGAGGUAAUGUGGAAAUUUGUAUCGGUUUAAUCUUUUUUCUUGACUGAAAAUAAGAAAGUGGAGACAUGUGGUUUAAAAAACCAGCAAUACGUUUGUGAAUAGUGAAAUUAUAACAUGAUGCAGUCAUGGGAUGGCGGCAGAGAAGACGUUGCAGUUCCAGAUGAGGAGCCUCAUUGACUUUGAUGCAACAAGGACCAUCCAGGAAGCCCACCACUUGCACGUGAUCCAGGAGGGGCCUGUUCACCUAACACCACUGAAGAAGCCACCCCAUUGCUGCAUAUUGAUUAUGAGUUUGGUGCAGAGCAAGCGAGCGAGCGCGUAACAACAGCCUGGAUCAAAUUUGAUGUGUGCAGGACACUUAUACGGUCUACAAAAUGAAGGUUGGAGAGAACACAAGGAUGCUCGUGGAUGGCUUCGCACUGGGGAGGACAUGUGUGGGGUCCCCACCAAAUUUUGUUUUCUACGAGAUAGUGCGCAGCAGGAACUUCAACAUUUUCCAACAACACACACCAGGAAAGCUCCUCUCCAUUCAUCACGUUGCUGCUCCACAAUAAUUGAUGAGAAUUGCAUUUGAUUGAAAUCAGUGAACACAUUGUUGUGAUGGUAUUAUGUGUAAGUGGAAAAAGCAAGAGUUGCAUGUGAACACAAAGUGUAGGAGCAGUGGUUCAUGUGUUUGUGAGAAACAUGAAAAGUUGUAAUGUUGGAGGCUCACUUGCAUGUGUUGCUGGAAAAUGUUGAAGUCCUUGUUGCGCACUAUCUCGUAGAAAAUAAAAUUUGGUGGGACCCCACA